rnacentral:rRNA from 1 species
AGGACGAACGCUGGCGGCGUGCUUAACACAUGCAAGUCGAGCGGAAAGGCCCUUCGGGGUACUCGAGCGGCGAACGGGUGAGUAACACGUGAGCAACCUGCCCUUAGCUCUGGGAUAGCUCCGGGAAACCGGAAUUAAUACCGGAUAUGACCUAGGCCGACAUCGGCCGUGGUGGAAAGUUUUUAGGCUAGGGAUGGACUCGCGGCCUAUCAGCUAGUUGGUGGGGUAAUGGCCUACCAAGGCGACGACGGGUAGCCGGCCUGAGAGGGCGACCGGCCACACUGGGACUGAGACACGGCCCAGACUCCUACGGGAGGCAGCAGUGGGGAAUAUUGCGCAAUGGGCGAAAGCCUGACGCAGCGACGCCGCGUGGGGAUGAAGGCCUUCGGGUUGUAAACCCCUUUCAGCAGGGACGAAGCGAAAGUGACGGUACCUGCAGAAGAAGCGCCGGCUAACUACGCGCCAGCAGCCGC